rnacentral:rRNA from 1 species
CCUACGGGUGGCAGCAGUGAGGAAUAUUGGUCAAUGGGCGCGAGCCUGAACCAGCCAUGCAGCGUGAAGGAUGACUGCCCUAUGGGUUGUAAACUGCUUUUAUAAAGGAAUAAAGUCCGACACGUGUGCCUGGUUGUAAGUACUUUACGAAUAAGGAUCGGCUAACUCCGUGCCAGCAGCCGCGGUAAUACGGAGGAUCCGAGCGUUAUCCGGAUUUAUUGGGUUUAAAGGGUGCGUAGGUGGGUUGUUAAGUCAGUGGUGAAAGUUUGGGGCUCAACCCCGAAAUUGCAUUUAAUACUGGCGGUCUAGAGAACAGUUGCGGUAGGCGGAAUGCAUGGUGUAGCGGUGAAAUGCUUAGAUAUCAUACAGAACACCGAUUGCGAAGGCAGCUUACCAAACUACCUCUGACGUUGAGGCACGAAAGUGUGGGUAGCAAACAGGAUUAGAUACCCCAGUAGUC